UCGAGGCUCCUUUACAACCACUUGCUCAGGGACUUUCCUUGGGGGUGCACAGAACCCAGAAAUCAUCCACGGACGAACCAGAACCCCAAAUGAGCCGUGGCCCUCAGGGGCACGAGCCCUCCCUGCUCAGGUGCGCCCUGUCCCACGGGAGCCACGCAUCACACCCCGCGUCUGGGCUGCGCUGAGCUCGAUGUGCUCCUGGUGGGUCGCCCUCCACCCUCCGCCAGGAACAGCAGGUGCUGCCCGAGCCCUCCAGGGGGCAGGGUGGGCUUCCUCUCGGGGCCCCCACCCCCCUGCCCAGCUUCCGGGCAAGAGAGGGCAGAUCCAAAGCUACCCCUGCAGCUGUUGGCCUCGCUAAGUUUCCUUUUUCCAGGGCAGCCCCCGAAACGAAACCUUGGUGUGGCUUGGGUGCCAGAGCUUCUCAGAAAAGGGAAGUGAUCCCUGGCAGGACCUGGGGGCCCCACCCAACCUUCCGGGCACCCAGGCCCUGGCCGGCGGGAAUCCCCUGCACCGGUGAAGGCAGCACAGAAACGAAACGCACAGGGGGCCGGCUGGGCAGCUCCCCAGGGGCCUGGACAGGCAGAGGCUGAGGGGCUGUCACCGGCCACAUGAGCGCUGUGGCUGGGAGGGGACACCCAGGUCUGUGGGCGCUGGCACCCCACAGGGCCCGGGGUGGGGCAGGGGUCCUCUAGGGGGACCUCUGGGGGGCACUGUGCGAGUGCAGGGGUGUGGCGGGGGCCGAGGCCGCGGGCAGGAGGCAGGAGGGAGGGUGGCAGCCAGGCCUGGAGCCGGCCCACGGAGCAGGGGGAUGGAUGGAGCUCGCCAGACCCCGGGGGUCCCUGGCCCUCCGCCGAGGCUGAGGGGGCGCAGUGCCCAAGCCGCCCGCGGGCCCCGGGCCUUCUCAGUGGGUCUCGCCCCUCUCCAGAGGCCUCCGACUGCGGCGGGCUCUGCCCGAGCCUCCAGCACAUGACUUCCAGGCUGGCCGGCUUUCCAGGCAGCCUUGGCAAAACCCCGAGCUUCAGUUACACAAUCGACACCCCCACCCUCCAGCCCCCAAGGGUUCCCGGCAGUCGGCCUGUCCCGGCAGGGUGGGGGCAGGGCCCUGCUCCUGGCUUGGUCCCUGCAAGGAAUCCCUUCCCAGGGGCCAGACCCCACAUGCUGGCCCGGGGGGGGUCCUUUCCUGGACGAAUGAGUAAGGCGCCUCUUUGGGGCCAGGUCACCCACGCGCAGCAUCGAAUGAGCCAGAGACUGGCCUUUUGGGGACAUUUCAUGUAA
rnacentral:lncRNA from 1 species